UAAAAGUAUGUAAAUCACAGAACAAACAUUACUUUGUAUUGUGUCUACAACUUAACAAAAAUGCUACUACUUUGAUGGAUUGCACUAAAUAAGGGUUAGCUUUAAUUUAAUAAUUUGUGAGAUAUUCUUGCUAAUCUAUGUGUAAAUUGCUUUUCAGGACUAUGAGUGUGUGUUUGGCCAUCCAGAUUUCAUAACUACAACUGAUGUUCAAUUACAAGUGAUAUUAAUCAGUCUCCGUGGACUAUACACUGUGCCUAGUUUCAUCCUCAGAGACUGAUGUGUAAGCUUAAAGUAAAGACAUCAAAUCAAAGUAUCAGCUAUCAAGAGGAAGAACAUUCAAAAUCAUAUUGUGAUACACAAAUCAAGCAAGUCUAUGACCAGCAUUAUGAUACAGGCCAAGAAAAAGCUGGAUAUUUGAUUGGAAGGGUGGCACAAAAAAGAUGGGUUAUCACUAGGGAAACAAGCUCGGAAUACAGUUCACUGUUGGGACAUCAAGCCAAAUACUUCUAAACUUAUUUGAAUCAUUUUUGCUGUUUAUUAUAAUUCAUCCAAUUGUCUUAUUAAAUAUAUAAAUUUAUAUAUAUAUACACAAUUCCUAAUAUAGAAUUUCUAAAAAUGUUUUAUUAUAAUAUUUAAAAAUGAAACAAACAUGUUCCCAGAACACAGCCACAUAAUGUCAACAUGUUCCCAGAACACACAAAAUGGCAACAUGUUCCCAGAACACACAAAAUGGCAACAUGUUCCCAGAACACAGCCACAUAAUGUCAACAUGUUCCCAGAACACAGCCACAUAAUUUCAACAUGUUCCCAGAACACACAAAAUGGCAACAUGUUCCCAGAACACACAAAAUGGCAACAUGUUCCCAGAACACAGCCAAAUAAUGGCAACAUGUUCCCAGAACACACAUAAUGGCAACAUGUGCCGAGAACACAAAAAAUGACAACAUGUGCCGUUAACAAUACUUUACUUUUUCCUUAACAAUUUUACAAGCAGGUAAUAAAGCCAUAAAUCUUUACUGUGGAUAUAGCCAAU